rnacentral:hammerhead_ribozyme from 1 species
AUCCAGAUGACGAGUCCCAAAUAGGACGAAAUGCGCACCCUGGAU